UUGCUUUGGGAGCACAUAAACUAAAAUUGGAACGAUACAGAGAUUAGCAUGGCUCCUGCACAAGGAUGAUAUGCAAACUCAUGAAGACUUCCAUUAAAAAACAUUUCU
ensembl:snRNA U6 U6 spliceosomal RNA